CCGGGGAGAAGUACGGUGAGCCUGUCAUUGUUCAGAGAGGCUAGAUCCUCCUUGUUGAGAAGGAUCAUGAUGGGCUCCUCGGUGUUCUCCAGG
ensembl:miRNA MIR433 microRNA mir-433